AGUUUAAACAAAAACAAGUUUUCCUUAAUAUUUCUAUAGAUACAAUAUUGGUGUUUGGAGCAGUGAUAAUGAUCGAUUCUUAUACCAAGAAAACAGAUUCUAAGACACGUAAAAUAAUGACUGUUGGUGGUUUAGCAUUGGUUGUAUUUUUAUUCAGCGUUAUUCUAUCUAUAUUUAAAUCAAAAGCACAUGGAUAUCCUUAUAGCUUUCUGAUCAAGUAAUGGAUUUUUGAAUGAGCAUCUACUUAAUUUUUUUUUUUUAUUAUUUAUCAAAAAUUG